CCAUCUUGUUCCACUGUCGCACUUAACGUAAAGGGAGAGUGGAUUUACAAGGGUGAGGCCUCACAACAGCUAGCACCUGGUGGUCUCUAUAUCCUGGAAGAAGCCAUUGACAUAAAGACAGAAAGUCUGAUCCCUGCAGAAACCAGACAGAUCCUGGGGGAAUGACUACCUGUAAGGUGAACCAAGUAAUAGCCCCAUUUGCCUGCUGUUUCCUGAAUACAAGGAGUCCAGAGUACCCUCGCAGCAGCUGCGGACUGGUUUGAUAGGACCCUUGCUACAUCCAUUGGAAAGCAUACUCCCUUUGGCAAGUUGGACUCCUAACUCAGCAGAGCCCAGAGUUCCAGGGAUGAGAAGCACAUUAAUCCUCCUCUGGGUCUUUGCCAAUUAUGAGAUGGGAAAGGAGGGAGAGAGGGAGAGAAACAUCAAAUGAGAGAGAAAGA